AUAUAUGAAACAAAAAAAUUUUUAAAAAAGUGUAGUUUGGUCCAGACAAACAUAACAAAUUAUUAAAAAAGGUUUUGUUGUUUGGUCCUGACAAAGGUAACAUAUUUUAUAAAGAUCUUCAUUAAAAUUUAAGGUGUGUUAGAAGUUUUUAGGACAAAAGUUUAACAAAUGAAUUAAAUUUUAACAAGGGUUUAAACAAAAAAUUGCAGUAGCACUUUCAUUUUGAAUGGUGUAGUGUUGACUGUAGUUAACCGAUAAUUAAUCAGUUUAGUCGAAUCUCGUUUUAGGGGUUUGGCGAGAAAAAAAUUUGAUUAAACAUGAAAAAUUAUUGGUAGGGGGGUAGGGGGGUUUGCCAUAAAAAAAAUGUAUUUUUUUUUAGUUUAAUUUUAAUUUAUAUGGUUAAAUUUAGUAUUAUAAUUAAUUUAGUUGUUGUAGAAAAAAUAUUAAUAAUUUUUUUAGUUUCGUGUGAUGAGCACGGACGCGGAGUAUUGUGUAUAAAAUAUUGCAUUAGAGGUUUUUUUGAAAAUUUUGUUAAAAAUUUGUUAAAAUUUGUUGAAAUUUGUAUGGGAAAUUUUAGGGUUGCGUUCGUGGUAUAAAAAAAUAUGUCUAGCAAGCAUUAAGACAAUAAUACCAUAUAGAGAACUUGCGCGAAGACCAUUGCACUGUUAGUUCAGACUAAAACCGGAUUGGUAGGAGCACUUGAGAUGAGGUCUGAAGGGAAAGAGAAAUAAAAAAUACCAGCCGCCAGGAAAACCAGUUAUGCUAUGAGCAAGGGUAAGAGGGUAACUAACCCAUUAACCAGAGGCCUUGGAAAAGGUGAGAAAGUGGUGAUGGAGAGUAGAAUGGUCCUGACCUAACAACCAGAGGCCUUGGAAAAGGUGAGAAAGUGGUGCAACCUCAUGUUAUGGACGUGAGACUAGGGAGGGGGGCAUUAUGUGCAGGGGUUGAUGAUUCUCACGUGAGAAGCUAGAUUAUUGAUUUGUGGAUGGGCAUUGUUGUUGGCACUAUUUGUAGUAUUGGAGUUAACUCGUGGAUUAGUGCGAGGAGGUCUUCGUGCAGUUAGGUGUAUAUGAUUGUAAUAAAGCAUGCUGAAGUAAUAAUGAAAAUGUAAAGAUAGAAUUUCAUAAGGCCUUUCUGUGCUAAUGUGUUGGCUUUGAUGUUGGGAAGAUUUAAAGAAACCAGUCCUUUAGGUCCUGAUUUUUCUAAUCAAAGUAGAUCGUUAAUAUGAAGGGCUAUGUUUUGUCCUAUAAACAGAGAUGCUAAGGGAAUGAUGCGGUGAAGUGUUGGAUUAAAGAAGCCUAGUUGAUUAGAAAAUUCAUGGUGUUUUGAUCGUUUUGUGAUUAUAAGUCAGGUUGUUUUUUUUGCAAUUUGAAGGGCAAAAAGUGCUCCAAGGAUGGUAAUAAUAAUAGCAGUGAGUUUUAUAGAAGUUGGUAUUGUGGUUGGAGUUGGUUUUGUUGGGAGGAGGGUAAUUAUAAGGAUUAGGCCUGCCACAAGGCUUCCGAUGGCAAGACGAAUAAGUGGGUUAGAGAGGGUUGGUGGUAUAUCAUUUAUUGUUGAUGUUGUUGUUCGUGGUAAACUUAUUUGGACGUAGAAGGUUAUUCGUAUGGUGUAGGUGGCGGUUAAUAUAGUUGCAAAGAGUGUAAGUAUUAGGGCUCAGGCGUUUAGGUGGGAGUUAUUUAUAGUUUCAAUGAUUGUGUCUUUUGAGUAGAAGCCUGAUAAGAAAGGGGUUCCUGUUAAAGCAAGAUUACCAAUUGUAAGGCAGGUGGCUGUGGUAGGCAAUAUUUUUUGUAUACCUCCUAUUUUUCGGAUGUCUUGCUCGUUGUUAAGAUUAUGAAUAAUUGCACCAGAACAUAAGAAUAGUAUAGCUUUGAAAAAGGCAUGUGUUGAGAUGUGAAGAAAGGCAAGUUGUGGUUGGUUUAGGCCAAUGGUUACUAUUAUGAGGCCUAGUUGACUAGAGGUUGAGAAGGCAAUAAUUUUUUUAAUAUCAUUUUGUGUUAGGGCACAGAGAGCUGUAAAUAGUGUAGUGAGUGCCCCUAGACAAAGGCAGAUAGUUAAGGCUGUUUUGUUGUUUUGUAAAAUUGGAUGGAGUCGGAUGAGUAGGAAGAUGCCGGCUACGACUAUUGUGCUGGAAUGAAGUAGGGCUGAAACGGGGGUUGGGCCUUCUAUGGCAGCUGGAAGUCAGGGGUGGAGUCCAAAUUGCGCGGAUUUACCUGCGGAGGCAAGAAUAAGGCCGAAAAGAGGUAAAAGGGGGGGAGUUUUAGUUUCAAUUGUUAUUUCUUGAAUAUUUCAGGUUGCCAAGUGUAUUGCAAGUCAGGCGAGGGCUAGUAUUAAUCCAAUAUCACCUACACGAUUGAAGAUAAUGGCUUGAAGGGCUGCGGUAUUGGCGUCUGGACGGGUAAACCAUCAGCCGAUUAAUAUGAAGGAUAUGAUUCCUACGCUUUCUCAUCCAACAAACAGUUGGAAUAUAUUAUUGGCUGUAACAAGUGUUAGUAUAGCUAAUAAAAAGACUAAGAGGUAUUUGAAGAAUCGGGUUAUGUGGGGGUCUUGUGAUAUAUAUCAAUUAGCAAAUUCAAGAAUAGAUCAUGUAACGAAGAGGCUGAUUGGGAUAAAUGUGAGGGAGUACAUGUCUAGGACAAGGCUAACGUUGAUGUCUAUGUUGGCAAUGUUGGUUCAUGUAAAGUUGGUUGUGGAGGCUUCUAUCCCAUAGUUUAUAAAGAUAGUUAGGGGAAUAAGGCUGACUUUGAAUGCCAGUUGUACAGCAGUUUUUGCGUAAAGUAUACCUCACCCUAUUAUUAGGGGAAUUGGAUUUAUGGUUGUGAGAAUUGGGUGUGUUAAGAUGAAUAGGACUGUAAGCAGGGUUGAAUGUAGGAGAAGAUCGUGCAUUUUUACUUCUACUUGGAGUUGCACCAAGAUUUCUGGUACCUAAAACCAAUGGAUUUCUGCUUUCCUAUAGAGGUAAGAGGUCUGAGAAUUUUAUUCUUAGUUCUUUGAGUUAGCAGCUCUAAUUGUUAAUACACCUCUUGGUAAAUAAGAAGGUAGAACUUCUGUUUCUAGAGUCACAGUCUAGUGUUUUUGAUAAACUAUAUUUAC
rnacentral:lncRNA from 1 species